GAUGAACGCUGGCGGCGUGCCUAAUACAUGCAAGUCGAGCGGACAGACGAGGAUCUUGCUUCUCUGCCGCUAGCGGCGGACGGGUGAGUCACACGAGGAUAACCGAUCUAUAAGAAUGGGAUAACUACAGGAGACCGGAUACCACAUCCGAUAAGAUGUAGAAACUCAUGGUUCUACGGAGAAAGACGUUCUUGCUGACCCUAAUAGAGGUUACCUAGCUGCAUGAGUUAGUUGGUAAGGUAACGGCUUACCAAGGCUACGAUGCGUAGCCGAUCUGAGAGGGUGAUCAGCCACACUGGAACUGAGACACGGUCCAGACUCCUACGGGAGGCAGCAGUAGGGAAUCUUCGGCAAUGGGCGAAAGCCUGACGGAGCAACGCCGCGUGAGUGAAGAAGGUCUUCGGAUCGUAAAGCUCUGUUAUUAGGGAAGAACAAAUGUAUAAGUAAAUAUUCACGUCUUGACGGUACCUAAUCAGAAAGCCACGGCUAACUACGUG
rnacentral:rRNA from 1 species